rnacentral:rRNA from 1 species
CAGCAGCCGCGGGAAUACGAAGGGUGCAAGCGUUACUCGGAAUUACUGGGCGUAAAGCGUGCGUAGGUGGUGGUUUAAGUCCGUUGUGAAAGCCCUGGGCUCAACCUGGGAAUUGCAGUGGAUACUGGGUCACUAGAGUGUGGUAGAGGAUGGUGGAAUUUCCGGUGUAGCAGUGAAAUGCGUAGAGAUCGGAAGGAACAUCUGUGGCGAAGGCGACUAUCUGGGCCAACACUGACACUGAGGCACGAAAGCGUGGGGAGCAAACAGGAUUAGAUACCCCAGUAGUCCCUGUCUCUUAUAC